rnacentral:rRNA from 1 species
GACGAACGCUGGCGGCGUGCUUGACACAUGCAAGUCGAACGGAAAGGCCUGCUUUCCCUUGUGGAUUGCGGGUACUCGAGUGGCGAACGGGUGAGUAACACGUGAGUGAUCUGCCCCCAACUUGGGUAUAAGCCUGGGAAACUGGGUCUAAUUCCCGAUAGGACUGCAGGGUGGUGCCUGUGGUGGAAAACGAUUUUCUAGUGGUUGGGGAUGAGCUCGCGGCCUAUCAGCUUGUUGGUGGGGUAAUGGCCUACCAAGGCGGCGACGGGUAGCCGGCCUGAGAGGGUGGACGGCCACAUUGGGACUGAGAUACGGCCCAGACUCCUACGGGAGGCAGCAGUGGGGAAUAUUGCACAAUGGGCGGAAGCCUGAUGCAGCGACGCAGCGUGGGGGAUGACGGCCUUCGGGUUGUAAACUCCUUUCGACCGCGAGGAAGCCACCUGGUUGGAAGGGUGGUGACGGUAGUGGUAGAAGAAGCACCGGCUAACUACGUG